rnacentral:rRNA from 1 species
CGUAGGGUGCGAGCGUUAAUCGGAAUUACUGGGCGUAAAGCGUGCGCAGGCGGUUUUGUAAGCCAGAUGUGAAAUCCCCGGGCUUAACCUGGGAAUGGCAUUUGGGACUGCAAGGCUCGAGUGCGGCAGAGGAGACUGGAAUUCCUGGUGUAGCAGUGAAAUGCGUAGAUAUCAGGAGGAAUACCGAUGGCGAAGGCAGGUCUCUGGGCUGACACUGACGCUCAUGCACGAAAGCGUGGGGAGCAAACAGGAUUAGAUACCCUGGUAGUCCACGCCCUAAACGAUGUCGACUGGUUGUUGGGGGUUUGACACUCUCAGUAACGAAGCUAACGCGUGAAGUCGACCGCCUGGGGAGUACGGCCGCAAGGUUA